ACACACACCACUCAGUGUUGUGGUGGUGAGUCGUCCCAUUUAAUUGGCUGCAGAGUUGCACACUCACUCUGACAUCAGAGAGGCUGCAUGGCUCACUAAAAGGCAUGGCGUGUGUGUGUGUGUGUGUGUGUGCCAUUAGCGCCCCCUUAAACCCUAAACGCCCCCCCUCCCUGUGCCGGUCGACCUCUGACCUUUUGGACCCCCCCCCCCCCCCCCCCUGGUCACACGCAGGUCGUUUUGGAUCUCGGAGUGUCACGACACACCCCACAUUAGCAGACAGAACCUGCACAGAACCGAAGACACGUCCAAUGUCAAUUACGUGCCUCCGCCUCAAGAACCGCAGGAUUUCAAACACACCCAGUCGUUCAUGCUGUGAGAAGCGGGCCUUCCACCGGACAACACGCACUGUCCCCCAGUAAGGUGCCAACACUCGACUCCUUCCAUGCCGACUCACAUCUCCCAUCGUGACUUGUGACUCCCGACUUAUGACGACUUUCUUCCUUUCUGUCGAUAUCAUGGUCUUUUUUGUGACUGAUUUAUACGAUUGGUAAAAAGGGUUGAGCAAUACCGCUUAUUUUUCUCGUUUUUUUUUGUCGUUGAGUAAACGAUAGCGCUCUGCUUCCACCUGGUGGUUCAAUGUUGAAACUACACUUUCAAUGCGCAGCCACUUACAUUGGCCUCCAUGACAGGUAUAUAUUAAAUAUAUCCUUCCUUCCCUACUUCCCCACCUAGUAGGAUAACUACCAACUACUUUUAUUUUCUUAACCAAAGACGACAUGUAGCUCAGCAUAAUUAUCGAACUCGUAUACAAGGGAAGUCUUUAUAGGUGUAUUUUCACCACAAAGCCAUAGUUAGGAAAAAAGGCCAUUUCCAUUGUAAAAAUGGUUUUCACCUCUGCUAGCAAAGAGCCGGUUACCUCAGACUACAGUAGACCUACAUGGCUUACACCAAUACACCCCCCCCCCCCCCCCACCGUAACAAUGGAGAUCUGUCUCCACUUACAACAAAAUGGCUGGCGGCCUUUGGCCAGCCAUGGAGUGAAUGAGGUUUAGAAACCUGACAGGAAACCAAGCCCUACGGAAACCCCUUUCAAAACAUAAGCCCCGUCCCGGAGUGCCUGCAUGGUCUUUUUCUUCAAGUAAAAAUACCUUGUGCCUUUUUUAAUUUGUCUGCCGUAUUUAUCUCUGGAAAUCAGUUUUUUUAUGUGGAGAAUUUGCCUUACUUUUUCUUGUCUAUUUUUGUGCCACUGUGUUGUAUCAUGUAGGAGUGUAUGUUUUUGAAAACAAGGUGAGAGAGUGAGUUACUGACGUGAGGUGUAGCAGCUGUGCCAGUAAUAAAUACGUUUUCUAUCAAAACA